rnacentral:rRNA from 1 species
ACGGAGGGUCCAAGCGUUAUCCGGAAUCAUUGGGUUUAAAGGGUCCGUAGGCGGCCAAAUAAGUCAGUGGUGAAAGCCCAUCGCUCAACGAUGGAACGGCCAUUGAUACUGUUUGGCUUGAAUUAUUAGGAAGUAACUAGAAUAUGUAGUGUAGCGGUGAAAUGCUUAGAGAUUACAUGGAAUACCAAUUGCGAAGGCAGGUUACUACUAAUAUAUUGACGCUGAUGGACGAAAGCGUGGGGAGCGAACAGGAUUAGAUACCCUGGUAGUCCACGCCGUAAACGAUGGAUACUAGCUGUUCGGAGCAAUCUGAGUGGCUAAGCGAAAGUGAUAAGUAUCCCACCUGGGGAGUACGUUCGCAAGAAUG